CUGCUCCGCGGUGGGCCG
rnacentral:misc_RNA from 1 species